UACGGGGGGAGCAAGCGUUGUUCGGAUUUACUGGGCGUAAAGGGCGCGUAGGCGGCGUGACAAGUCACUUGUGAAAUCUCCGGGCUUAACUCGGAACGGUCAAGUGAUACUGUCGUGCUAGAGUACAGAAGGGGCAACUGGAAUUCUCGGUGUAGCGGUGAAAUGCGUAGAUAUCGAGAGGAACACCUGCGGCGAAGGCGGGUUGCUGGGCUGAUACUGACGCUGAGGCGCGAAAGCCAGGGGAGAGAACGGG
rnacentral:rRNA from 1 species